GAUGAACGCUGGCGGCGUGCCUAAUACAUGCAAGUCGAGCGAACGGACGAGAAGCUUGCUUCUCUGAUGUUAGCGGCGGACGGGUGAGUAACACGUGGAUAACCUACCUAUAAGACUGGGAUAACUUCGGGAAACCGGAGCUAAUACCGGAUAAUAUUUUGAACCGCAUGGUUCAAAAGUGAAAGACGGUCUUGCUGUCACUUAUAGAUGGAUCCGCGCUGCAUUAGCUAGUUGGUAAGGUAACGGCUUACCAAGGCAACGAUGCAUAGCCGACCUGAGAGGGGGAUCGGCCACACUGGAACUGAGACACGGUCCAGACUCCUACGGGAGGCAGCAGUAGGGAAUCUUCCGCAAUGGGCGAAAGCAUGACGGAGCAACGCCGCGUGAGUGAUGAAGGUCUUCGGAUCGUAAAACUCUGUUAUUAGGGAAGAAAAUAUGUGUAAGUAACUGUGCACAUCUUGACGGUACCUAAUCAGAAAGCCACGGCUAACUACGUG
rnacentral:rRNA from 1 species